CAGGACAUAAUUUAAUAAGAAUAUUGGCUUUGGGGGUCAAUAGUAGAGGUUAAAGUCCUUUUGUCUUGA
rnacentral:tRNA from 1 species